UGGUAUCGACUGGGAGAAUCUCCUCUCCACCGCACGCUACACGAUGAUUAUAGAGAAGAGAAGAAAUACGCCCGAAUCAACGCUGCAAACGAGCGAUUAAGCGACGCGGCUACUACCAUGAGUACACAAAGCCAUGUGCGAUUAAUGUGUCUACUAGAGGCCUGCAACUCACGGAUUCGCGGAUUUGAUGGAAGAAGAGGAGUCAGCCGCUGCUGUCUUGUGCUGUUUGAACUCUCAAUCUGGCGGCACCCAUUCACUGCAGAGGAUCCAUUGGAGGACAAGUGAUAAAAUGCUAAAUUUCUACAAAUCUGUUGUAUUGAAGAGACAAGCUCAUCUACAAUCUGGACAGCUUGCAAGAGAGCGGAAGAAUAUGCCCUGAUAUGGAUCACCUCAGAUUUAAUAUCUAUGGCGAUUGUCAU